CUGGAUCGGGAGUAAUGGACAGGGGGUCGGGGACACCUGAGGCAUUUCUCUGAGUGUUUCCCACGCUAGUAAUGUUUCAGCCACCGGUCCUUCCUCUCCCCUCCUGCUGCCCCUGGUUGUUCUCCUCAGCCAAACCGCUGCCUUUAGUUUUGCAGCCUCUCCCAUCCGAUCCAGAGUUACCCAUUGUUUACUCGUAUCUGUUUCGUGCCAUUCCAGGAUCCUUUGUAGGACUGUUGCCUGGUGGUACUUUUUAAAAUCCGGUAGGGCUAGGCCCCCUCUGUGUCUUGGUAAGCAUAGGAUGUCAUGGCGUAGCCUGGAUCGUUCCCCCCUCCAGACAUGGGGGAUAUAUAAAUUAUCCCACUUGGGCAGGUUAGAAGCCAUCAAUCUAAUUAAUCUCCCAGAUAUUAACGUCGUCUUUCAUUGCAUUUCCCUUCCUAUCCAAAAAAAUUAAAUAAUAUUCUGCAACAUAGAAUCUAAAUGUUUUUUUUAUUUAUUGUAGCGGAACUCAGUAGUACAAUAUAAAGACAGCAUAAAUUGCCACACUUAUAAAUAUAAGCUAAUGACUAUAAGCAUAAAAAAGUUAAAGCAGAAUAUACUGCUGAGAUCAGAUUGCCAUAACCGCAGAAUCCGCCAGGGCCCCUGACACAGCUCAAUGUCUGGGCACCCGGGAGCCUGGCCCAUAGUCCACCCACAGGGCCUGCCCCGAGUUCACCCUCGAGAAUGAAGUGUGUGUGUGUGUGUGUAUAUUGGAUGUAGAAUGUGUAUAGCGGAUGCAGAUUGUACGUUUUCUGUAAUGUUUGUAUGCAUUAGAUGCAGAGUGUGUGUGUGUAUGUAGGUGUGUAUAGUGUUUGAGGCAGAGUGGGUAUUUGUGUUUAUUGAAUGUAUUGUGUGUGUGUUUGCAGUGAGUGCACAGUGUGUAUAGUUAAUGUGGGUGGGUGUGUGUGGCGCGAGUGCAGCGUAUGUGAUGGUAAGGAUGCAGAGUGUGUAUGUGUAUAUUUUUACAUUUAUUUGUGAAUAUUUUUAUUUUAUUCCCCCCUCUGUG